UCAGCAUGGACCUUGGAUAGUAUGGGGAGUGAGCAGUGCAAAUAAUUAGGCCUAACAGAAGGAUUGAGCCCUAAAUGGAGAAACUGGACCGUUUGAGCAAAAAAGCCCAAAUCUUAAGUCAAACCUGAGCUCAAUCAAUCGAACCUCAACCAAGUCGUCACGUCGAACAAGAAAAAAGAACUCCUACGUCAAAACUCACCGGUGGUGCCGAAAAACUCCUUGCCGGCGGCGUAUGCGAGCAACCAGGAAUCCGGUCUCGUUCAGGUGUUAUGCUUUGAUCUACUCUUUCACUCCAUAUCGUGAUUGUCCGAGUUGCGCCGUUUUCGACGGAGACUCCGAUUUCGCAGCGAUGCGUUCUGAGAUGACGACGACAAGUUCAGGUCCGCGUGCGUUUAUCCAGGAGUGCUUCGCCUCGUCUUCCUCUUCUGUUUCAAUCUUCUGUUUCUGUUUCUAGGUGUCUCGCCGUAGUGGAUCGCCUUGCCGUUUUCGAGGAAGACUUUGCGUUGUUGUUGUUCGGUUUUGCGAUGUGGUGAUGCAGAUGAUUUGUAGAAUUGAAAACAAGGUGAUGUAUGGUGCGUGAGAAGCUUCGUGAUGGAUGUGAGAGUUUGUAGCGAUUCAACUCAGAAGGAGGAGGAGCGAUUUGUUCUGUAGAAUCGAUUUUGGUUGAAAAAAAGGAAGAGAGGUUUCACUGUUAACUUAUCCGUUUAUAUAGAAACCAUGUUUGUAAUUUGAAUUGAGUUGGAGCUGUGAUGGAUUUACAAUGCCGUUUACGCGUUGGGCAUUGCGUUUUGGUUGUUACCAUUGUGCAGCUUUCCAAUUUUCUGCGUUUUGUUUACGGGUGCAGCUGGUGUUGUCGUUUUGGUAUUUGAGUUCACAUCAUUGCCGUUUGGCUUGCUACUACCUGCGUUAUGCCACAACUUUUGCAUUUUUGACUGGUUUUGGAAGCUUUGCAGCCUGCCGUCGUUUCCACUUUUUGUCCUAUCUGUAAUAGAUAGGUGUAUUAUAUUACAUGGAUUAAUUAGUUUUUUAAUGGAUGAAUGUUAAUGUUAAAAAAGCUAAUGGAUAAUGGAUUUAGAGAUUGGAUUAUUGGAUUGGAAAAAAUGGAUUUGGGCUAUGGUUAAUUGAAUAAAAAUUGGAUAUAGAAAUUGGACUUAGAAAUGGGAUUUAGAAUGUGUUA